AUCGUAAUAUUAUGAAAUAACUAUAACAUAUGGAAGUCGAAAGAUUUUAUUUGAAGCAUUUUUAUUAAUUAAAAUAAUCGUAAAUGCCGAUAUGGUGAAACAUUUUCGAGACUCAGCUCUUGAACCAGUAUAUUCAUGGUUCCUCGCUCCUCACGACGUCGAAUCCAGAUUCUGUCAAUUCCUUGAUACCUUUUGAGAAGUGAACUGCCUUCUUCCGUGCAAAUAGUAACACACACUGCUAACAAGAUAUCGUCUUCGAUCUCUUCGUCUGUCAUGAUGUCAACAAACGAGGAGGCGGUGCGAGAGAAAGGAUAUCUAAAUUAAUUGGUGGGUUGUAAAACCUCACUAUAUUUCAUUUGGGCAUGUCUGCCGGAUAAAUCGUUCUAGCAAUCUGCUUACGAUCUAAUGACGUCACAUCAUAGGCAACCUGGUCAACUAGUUUGCUACCGACCUUGAAUCCAGGGCUGGCGCUAGGUUGGACGUUACCGGCCUGUAAAGCUGAAAUGAGCGCCUCCAAACAAAUGCCAAUUUAUUUAUUUAUAAAAAUGAAAAAUAAUAUUAGCACUUCGAAACGGUGCCUACCUUGUAGUGGCGUCAAUCUGCAAUGUGGCCUUCAUUAUUCUACAACUUACACUUCUGGAAAGAACUAAUCGUACUAUUCUCCGAAAGUAUUCUUUAUUGUGGAACGAUUAAAGAUAAAGCAUUCAAGUAUAUGACAUCAAUAUCCUCUUCAAUGACAAAAAUUUAUAUUUUAUUUACAGAGAAAUUUCAAAAUAUUGAACGAUCGCCAUCUUUAAACAACUUUAGCAAAAGGUCUAAUUGACGUAUCAUAAGAAAUCCUCUUCAGUGACUCGACCUCCUCGUUAAAUUUCAUAAAAAUUUAAUAAAUGGUUUAGGAUACAUUACGGAAGAAUCUCAACUACCAUUUUUAAACUAUUAUACCAGAGUAAACGAUUGUUGUGGCAACGAGAUUGUUUUUGAUAUCAGAAUAAUACUUCCAAAUUUCACGAAAAUAUCCUAAUUAAACCAAGUUAUUAAUAGCUAUACACAGGCCACAGACAACAUGGUGAUCGUUUAAGUCCCAUUUUUCUUCUGAAAGCAAGUUAAGAAAAGUACGGUUUGCAUAUUCUACAAUUAAAAGUAAGACUGUACAAAGACAAUAACAAACUUCUAUUAUUCUGAAAAUUUAUUACUAUAGCUGCAUUAUGUUUAUUACUACUGAACAAUUUCCAUUUUUAAUUCUAGAAACUAGAACAGGGAC
rnacentral:lncRNA from 1 species